CAACUCUCAUCCUACACCGUUGGAUCGAGAAAUGGACGUCCGAGAUUUGUCCACGUUACCAUGAGUUAAAAUUUAACUCAGAUUCUCUCAUGAGUUAAAAUUUAACUCAGAUUCUCUCAUGAGUUAAAAUUUACCGUGAGUUAAAUUUUAACUCAUGGUGACGUUGACGAAUCUCAGGCGUCUAUUUCUCGAUCCACCGGUGUAGAAUGAGAGUUG
rnacentral:pre_miRNA from 1 species